rnacentral:rRNA from 1 species
CCUACGGGAGGCAGCAGUGAGGAAUCUUGGGCAAUGGACGGAAGUCUGAACCAGCCAUGCCGCGUGCAGGAAGACGGCUCUCUGAGUUGUAAACUGCUUUUUUACAAGGGUAAGCCUGAAUACGUGUACUCAUCUGAAAGUACUGGACGCAUAAGGAUCGGCUAACGCCGUGCCAGCAGCCGCGGUAAUACGGAGGAUCCAAGCGUUAUCCGGAUUUAUUGGGUUUAAAGGGUGCGUAGGCGGAUUGAUAAGUUAGAGGUGAAAUGUCCGAGCUUAACUCGGGAACUGCCUCUAAUACUGUUGAUCUAGAGAGUAGAUGCGGUAGGCGGAAUGUAUGGUGUAGCGGUGAAAUGCUUAGAGAUCAUACAGAACACCGAUUGCGAAGGCAGCUUACCAAUCUAUAUCUGACGUUGAGGCACGAAAGCGUGGGGAGCAAACAGGAUUAGAUACCCUGGUAGUC